UUGCCUACGGGAGGCUGCAGUGGGGAAUAUUGGACAAUGGGGGAAACCCUGAUCCAGCAAUACCGCGUGUGUGAAGAAGGCCUUCGGGUUGUAAAGCACUUUUAGCAGGAAAGAAAGACUGUGCGCUAAUACCGCAUGGUUUUGACGUUACUUGCAGAAAAAGCACCGGCUAACUCCGUGCCAGCAGCCGCGGUAAUACGGAGGGUGCAAGCGUUAAUCGGAAUUACUGGGCGUAAAGCGCGCGUAGGCGGUUUGUUAAGGCGGAUGUGAAAUCCCCGGGCUCAACCUGGGAACUGCAUUCGAUACUGGCUGGCUAGAGUGUGGUAGAGGGAAGUGGAAUUCCAGGUGUAGCGGUGAAAUGCGUAGAUAUCUGGGGGAACAUCAGUGGCGAAGGCGGCUUCCUGGACCAACACUGACGCUGAGGCGCGAAAGCGUGGGGAGCAAACAGGAUUAGAUACCCGAGUAGUC
rnacentral:rRNA from 1 species